AUGAUGCUGUCCUGGUCCAGGACAGAAAACCUGGAAAUUCCCUGGAGAGUCACCAGUGAGAACCUGCUCUGAAGAGUGAAGAAGUUGGAGUCUCAUGUCCUCGUUGCAACACAGCAGCAAUGGAACCCACUCCAAAGAAGAAUGGGGAAUCCUCUCUUCUGCUGCCUCCUUGAUCUUUCACCUUUUUGUUCUGUCCAGGCCCCUAACAUAUAGGACUGUGCUAUCCACAUUUAGGGUGGGUCUUUCCCUCAGUUUUCUGUCCUACGUGUCAAUGAUUCCUAGAAGCACCCUCCUUGACACACCCAGAAGCCUCUUAAUCUUGAGCAUCUCUGAAUCCAAUCAAGUUGACAAUUCAGAUUAACCACAGUGAGUUUAUUGAAAAUUUUUCAUAUAACUUGUCUUUGUCUGAUAAUAUUAUCUCUCCCUUUCCCAGUUCACUUUCUUCAAUUAUUAGUUGUUAUUAGUUGUGGUUUCUGUUCCUGAGAAACAUAUCGAGUACUAAAGUGGUUCAAUUCCCAUUCAGGGUUGACCAGUUUGCACUUGCUCAGUAGUACUAAGUGGCAGAAAGUGUAUCAUUAGAGGGAGAGAUUCAAACCAGUCUUAGAAUGAUCCAGUUUUCUGAACCCAAAUUUGGAUACCUGAUAGACCAUGGUUCCUCGAUUCUUCAAGUACCUACACAGAUCUCCAACCUCAUGAAGCUCAGUCUAAUUUAAUCUGGAGGCCAGGCUGUCCAACAGUAAUACUAUAAUGCAGCAAGAGCUACAGAGGUGACCAGAAAAGAUAACCCUCUGCUCUUUAGGAGGAGAGAAUCAAGGCUGAGGAGAGUCUUAGCUCAGUCUUGGAAGAAAAUGUCUUUUCUUCUCAGGCAGUCCUUCUGGCUGCAGGAAGGGCAUUCCAGGUCCACAUAGGCACAAAAACAUGAAACUGUUGGAGUACGUAGUCUGCCACACAACUGGAAAAUUUGGUCUUCUCUGGGCAUAUGCACCUCAAAAUUUUUUAUUUGUAAACUUUGGAAUCUGAUCUAUCUUGAUGUUCUGUUGUCUCAUCCAAGUGCCUUGGUUCUACUAGUUGUAGGACUCCUGCAACAUAGCAGAUUGGUUUUCUUCAUG
rnacentral:lncRNA from 1 species